AUGACUUGGUGGGAGCAAAUGGACAACGGCAAGCAGCUUACUCACAACAGAAAAUUUCUUGUUGUGGUUCAUGUAGUCAUGUAUGUGUUAUUCUGUUUCAAUUUUAUUAAUACUGCUUUUGGGAGCUUACUUGGCAAGAAACAACAUGGCAGGAUGUAUGCACAAAGAUUGAUUCUGGCUAGUCAGAAAUACUACUCUUAUUCAUUAAUUAUGCAAAGAACACUUGUUCAUAACAUCUAG
rnacentral:rRNA from 1 species